rnacentral:lncRNA from 1 species
CUCAGUGCUCCCCUACCCAGGUGAGGCUGCUUCUGUCCCACACCCGACACUCACCCUCCAACUCCAAGCCAGGAACCAGGUGUGGUUUUCUUCCAAGUUCAACCUUGAUCUGCAGCCUGGCUGAUCACUGAAUUCUCCAGUCCCUGGGGACCUUUAGCCCUCUACCUGGGAAGGCCUCUGGGUAGCAGAAUUGGACUUUCAGGAGAGGUGGGGCUGGAGACAGAGAUGUGGGCCAUCAGAGCAAUGGGGUGUUUACAGCAAUGAGGCCAUAGUGUUCCCAAGGGAAAAGGGCUUAGGAUGGAGCCCUGGCCAUCACCACUUAAAGCUGGCUCAAGGAAGAUGAGCAAAGAGUGGCCUGAAAAGGAGUGGCCUGGGAGGGAGGAGAUGGCUUCCUGUGUGGGAUCACAGCUGUGGGGAGAGCAUGCCCAGCAGGGGUAUGGGUGGGGGGCCUGCUGCACAGGGCCUAGGGAGAGGAGGUCUGAAAAGCGUGCUGAGUUUGGCAAAGGAUACCCUUGACGCUGUUAGCAAGGGCAGCAUGGAGCUGGGAGGGGCUGAAGGCAGCUCCAGGCGGGUUGAGAACGGGAGGGGCGGGAAGGGAAGUGACUUUACCAAGAACCUGGCCUGUGAAGAGUGGGAGGACGAAGGGGAAAGUGGCUGAGGGGCUUCUCACUAUUUUUAAGACGGACAAGACUUGAGUCCAGCUGAAGUCUGAGAGGAAGACGUAAACAGGGAGAGGCUGGAGGCAGAAGAGAGCAUGACGGGGCUUUAUACUGUUGGUUAAACUUCUGCCGGCGGACGCAGCAGCAGGCGGCCAGCGUGGUGAGGAGGAUGGCAGAGACCAGUAUGAAGAUGUGCCUUCUGGGACCAAAAUUCUUCCUGUGCAAAUGCAGGUCUCCCUCUUCUCUUCCAGGCCUCCAGGAACCCCAGCCUUUCCCAGAAAAAGGUCUGACUUCCACAAUCACCGGGCUCAGGCUCACCGCCCCCAGCUUCUGUCUCCGCCAACCCGUUCUGACCCACUCACUGCUAAAUGCCUGACAACUGCUCAAAAGCUCUACUCUGACAAUGAGGCAGCUUGGCUUAAACUUCUCCACGGUGAAGUCCAGGAUCCCCAGCAGGGCCUUCGAGGCUGUUUGUAGCCCCUGCCAACCUGUCCCCCACCUCCCACCCCAGCCCACAUGCAGUGACCACAGCUGACCACUGCCCAUCAUGCGCUCCCACACCCACUGCUGGGGCCUGCUCCCUGAGCUGGUUAUGCCAUCCCCAACCAGAUCCACACAUGAACUCUUCACACUGAGCUUCAGGGCCUCCUCCACCAGGGAGCCCUCCCUGACUGUGCUUCCUCUCAGAGCUUUGCCCCGCUGAAUUGUGGCUGUGUGUGUGAGGACCUGCUAGACAGCGAGCUCAGAGCAAACAGGGACUGGUUUGGUGGAUGUGCAUGCCUUGGACCUGACUAGCAAGUCAAUUUUUCCUAAUGAAUGAGUCCCAGACAUCAUCAGUUUAGUAAAGGUCUGAGGCACUGAAUCAAUCACUUCUCUAGGAGGAAAGAAAAUGCAUAAUUGAUAUUUUCAAAAUAUAGUCAAAGACGGGUAGAGCAAGAAGAGUUCAGCUGACCCACUUCCCAGAUGUGAACACUGAGGCCUGAAGAUGGCAGUGACUUGCGUGAAUUCACAGUGAGCCAGUGGCUGAGCUGGUAGGGAGGGAACACAAGCCGGUGUGUUCCUCCCCUGGUCCAGCUCUGCGCUUCCUCCUGAGAGCCCCAAGGUGAGUAGGGGGAGGAAGAGACCUGCCCAGCCUCAGGCCUCCGUGUGGCUCUUCUUACUCCAUGCAGCACAGUGACUCCAUGUAGCCUCCAAGGGAGGCAGCUUCACAGGGGCCUCAGGAGGCCCAGGGAUGCCCCGUCAGUUGGGCACCUGUGUGAACCUGAAACCUGCCCAGCUGCCUUGCCCAUCCUUGCCCUUCCUCCCUCACAACCUCUCUGUCUGCAGGGGCCACUAAACAUAGCCUCCUCCUCACAGCCCUUACCCCCUGGGGCAUUCCUUACUUAAAGCAGAAACAACAAAAUGACCUGUGAUGGAGCCCCAGCUGUGUCAGGCUGCGUGCUGAGUGCAGAGACCCCCUACCCCAUUAAAUCUUCCCAGGCAUUGUUCACCCUGUUCCUAUUGUACCCCUAACGAAACUGAGGCUAAGGGGAGUGGGCUGCCCAAGAUCAGACAGUCAGGGGCUCAAAACUCCCAUUUGCAAAUUCCUUUUCCUAUUGGUGCCAGCCAAGUUCUGACCACUGGGCCCUCAGCUGGUCAGCACAGCAAAGAGCAUCAUGGACCCACUUACUGACUGUUACAGUGUGGGGGGCACCGUGCUGUGCCCCGCGUGUUACCCCCGGGCAAGUGCAGAGGCAUACUGCCUCUGGAUAGGCAAAGGCUCCCUGGGGCACCAGCCCCUGAGACUUGAUCCAGGACACAAAGUUUGCCAAGCCCACAGCCCAAGACUGGCUUUCCAUUCAGGGGCCCAAGACCCCUGCUCUAGAAGCCUGGGGGCCUGAUGGUGGGCAGGGCUGCACUGGGAUGCCCAGAUCUCCAGUCCAGUCCAGGAAGAAGCUUGAAGUCCAGGGCGGUGCUCAGAGCUCCACUUCCAGGGUCUUCAUGCCUCCUUCAGCUCUGAGCUCCCAGCAUUGCCUGACUUACCGUCGGAGGGAAUUGGAGGAAUUGGCCCUUGACCAGAGUUUAGAGCUCCCACCCACUGUCCUGGGCUAUCAGGACACCCACUGCCCAGCUUCCUUUUCAGAAGCAAAGACUUGCCAUCCAACUCCAUUUCACCACCUGAUCAUGGGAGGAAAGCAGAGUAGGGAGAGGCACCAGGCAGUGAACAGUGGCAAAGGCAGCUGGGUUCGAAUCCUGUAGGUCCCUGGUGGGUCACACAUCUUCUCCUUACUUCCCGUGUGUAUUAUUCCCAUGCUGGUUCAGAAAGUGCUUUCCUAUCUCUUAUCUCAUUUCCCCAGACUCCAAAAUUCACCCGCUUCCCCUCUGCCUGUUGGGUAGUCAAGGACUUUCCCCUCUGAGCCUCGUCUCCCUGAGGUAGAAUGUGCGUUUGUAUUUGGUGACAUCUGAGGCCUUCUCUGCCCGCAAUUCUGGGCUCCGGGAAUCUUAGAAGGGCUCUGAAGAGCAAGAAAGGUGGUGGCAACAGGAGACAUUGCACCCCCAGGGAAGGGCUGCGGGCAGGCAGCUGCCUGCACUUCCUGCCUCCUGAAGCAGCUGCCGGUUCUGUGUCAUAAGCUUCUUCGAGUCUCAGGUCCAAGAGGGGCUUCCGGAGGCCCUGCCCUUUCCCCAGCCAGGCUCUGGCCUCAGUGACUGCCCGGCCUUACAAGUGGAUCUAGGUGUUCUCUUUGCCCUGUAUCUCAUAGAGUCACAAGAACUUUAGGGCUAGUUUCCCUGGCUUGGGACAGGAAAAAGGAAUAGAAGCAAAUCAAACUUGGUCCUUGCCCUAGGGAAGUUCAUGGUCUGGCAGGUGAGACAGGCUUGGACCCUUUCACCAACCACCCCACAUGUUCAGUCUUCUCAGUAUUGAGAUAGGGGGAAGCCUGGGGACCGCAGGAACCCAGAGGAAGGUGUGAUCAGACUAGGCCAGCCUGGGAGGGGCUGGGGAGGCUUCCUGGAGAUGGCAGCAUUUGAUCUGGGCACUAAGAAGUGAGAGGCACUCCAGCGGGCAGUCCCAAGUCAAGGAGCCCAGCUUGGAAGGGGAUUUGUCUCCAAGAGGGAUGAGCACAGAGGAGCCCCUCCCAGCUGGCCUACCCCAAAUUCCCCACACAUAUAUAUAUAUUCUAGAUCCCCUAGCUGGGCCUACUGCUCUGUGGGGACAGCUUGGGGGAAUACAGUGUAAUAUCAGCCUCACUGUUCCCAGCUGAAUGACCUUGGACAAGGCCCAAUCUCUCCAAGCCUCAGUCUCCUCCUUUGCAAAAUGAGAAUAAUGGUGCUUACCUGGCAGGACUGUGGGUAAAUAAGGUGUUUAAACAUUCUAGUAGGUGCUCAUUAAAUGCAAGGUACAUUCCCUUUCCUCUCCUGACUCUUCUAACUUCUGGCUUCUGGGGCUGGGGCACUAGCACACCCUAGGGCAGGGAGGUGGGGGUGG